rnacentral:rRNA from 1 species
UACGGGGGGAGCAAGCGUUAUUCGGAUUUACUGGGCGUAAAGGGCGCGUAGGCGGCGUGACAAGUCACUUGUGAAAUCUCCGGGCUUAACUCGGAACGGUCAAGUGAUACUGUCGUGCUAGAGUACAGAAGGGGCAACUGGAAUUCUCGGUGUAGCGGUGAAAUGCGUAGAUAUCGAGAGGAACACCUGCGGCGAAGGCGGGUAGCUGGGCCGACACUGACGCUGAGGCGCGAAAGCCAGGGGAGCGAACGGG